GACGAACGCUGGCGGCGUGCCUAAUACAUGCAAGUCGAGCGCAGGAAACUGACGGAACUCUUCGGAGGGAAGGCAGUGGAAUGAGCGGCGGACGGGUGAGUAACACGUAAGGAACCUGCCUCAAGGAUUGGGAUAACUCCGAGAAAUCGGAGCUAAUACCGGAUAGUUCAACGGACCGCAUGGUCCGCUGAUGAAAGGCGCUCCGGCGUCACCUUGAGAUGGCCUUGCGGUGCAUUAGCUAGUUGGUGGGGUAACGGCCCACCAAGGCGACGAUGCAUAGCCGAUCUGGGAGGGUGAUCGGCCACACUGGGACUGAGACACGGCCCAGACUCCUACGGGAGGCAGCAGUAGGGAAUCUUCCACAAUGGACGAAAGUCUGAUGGAGCAACGCCGCGUGAGUGAUGAAGGUUUUCGGAUCGUAAAACUCUGUUGUAAGGGAAGAACACGUACGAGAGGAAAUGCUCGUACCUUGACGGUACCUUACGAGAAAGCCACGGCUAACUACGUGCCAGCAGCCGCAGUAA
rnacentral:rRNA from 1 species